rnacentral:rRNA from 1 species
AACGAACGCUGGCGGCAGGCCUAACACAUGCAAGUCGAACGCUCCGCAAGGGGAGUGGCGCACGGGUGAGUAACACGUGGGAACCUACCUUCUGGUACGGAACAACCAAGGGAAACUUUGGCUAAGACCGUAUACGACCUCCGGGUGAAAGAUUGAUCGCCGGAAGAGGGGCCCGCGUCCGAUUAGGUAGUUGGUGAGGUAACGGCUCACCAAGCCUUCGAUCGGUAGCUGGUCUGGAGAG